rnacentral:tRNA from 1 species
GCCAGUGUGGAGUAGUGGUUUGAGCAUUGGACUACGACUCUGCAGAUCAGGGUUCGAUUCCCCGCUCAGCCA